CUCCUGAAUCUGAUCUCCCAAUUAACAACUCUCCUUCUUUACUAAAUUUUCAUUUUACUUAUAGGUCUUACCUGAAACUAAGUUUCUUCUU